GCGACACAUACGCAGCGUGCAAGCGUUUCUUUUGCAAGAGCUCGAACUCAAGUACAAGGCGCACGGAUAUUUACAAACAUUUCAAACCGACACAAUUGGGCGGAGGCUGUUUUGGUGCCCGCCAUCGCCGCCCCGUUCUUUUCGAUUGUGCUGCGAUUCCUCACACUUUUUUGGGCUCCAGCAUGAAAGGCCUUUCUUUGUUUUUUUUGUUUGUUUUGGUUUUGUGUGUGUUCAAGCCAACCGCAAGUAACAGCGAUUUCUGCCAGCGAGGAGAAGGUGACGACAAGCCCACGUGUCAACACGACGGCUGAGCCGCAACUCGGAGAUUGACGCAAGGACAAAGGCCGCACGUUGAAAGCGACACGCGCUAAGCGUCGUUGGCGGUCCUACUGGAGGCCGAACCUUUAGAACCGUGAAACGCGCCGGCCGGCCGACCGCCCGCGGCAGCUUCCCGGGCCGCCGAUUCUGGUUUGCCGGGAACGGGGCUCGGAUCUCGUCUGCGUUCUCCUGACGCGUCGUCGUCAAAAGGAUACAAAUUGAUCCGGAGCACACAAACGAGGCGAGUGGGAGGAAAGAGAGAGAGAGAGAAAAAAAGGCCGAAUGUUUCUUUUGUAGCCUUCGGGUGGCGUGAUGUGUAAUUUCCCAGGAGCGCAAAUGGAGGACGGGGGCUCGAGGCUGCGGAGACUCGCUGUGAGUCACACCGCAAUUGUUUCCAUGAAAUAGCUUCCGAUUGGGGGAUUUUCAUCCAUUUGACCUCACUGGGUUUGUGCGUGUGUGUCUUCAUGUCUUCUUUGAAGUGUGAAUGCUUGUGUGUGUGUUUGCAAAUGUAUGCGAGUACAUGUUCGUGUGUUGUUUGCGUGCGUGCACGUGCGAUUGAUCGCACAAUCGUUUCGAUGACACGCGUUCUUGCAAAUACACGAUGCGGCUUCCCCGACUUUUCUGCGCGUCUCCUUUGCGACGUCUCGCACUGUACGUCUGCUAGAAUUUCACGCUAUCGUGUUCCAAGCGCAGAUCUUGUGUGCUGCAGUCUCGUUUGAGUUGUAGCCGCGUCUUAAA